CAUGGCCGUUCUUAGUUGGUGGAGCGAUUUGUCUGGUUAAUUCCGAUAACGAACGAGACUCUGCCGUGUUAAAUAGUGAACAUCCAGACAUAGUUCGGUGGUCACUUCUUAAAAGGACAAGCGGAAAAGAACCGCACGAAAUGGAGCAAUAACAGGUCUGUGAUGCCCUUAGAUGUCCGGGGCUGCACGCGCGCUACACUGAUAAACUCAGCGCGUUUAUUUCUUCGUCUGUUGAGACGGAGUAAUCGAUUGAAA
rnacentral:rRNA from 1 species